GUGGCUCUUAAGGAGCGUGAGAAGCUUAAUCUCAUGGCCUUCCCUCCUAAGCUGGUGGUGGAGCAGUUUACCAUGAUGGAUGCGGAGCUCUUCCAGAAGGUGGUGUCCUCUCCGUGUCUGGGCUCCACCUGGGGCAAGAGGAACAAGCCCGGCAAUGAGCACCAGACACCCAACGUCCAGGCCACCGUCGACCACGUCAGAAGGGUGGCCAGCUUCGUCAUCAUCCCCUGCCUCGGGGACCCGAGCAAGACAGCCCAGGACAGGGUGAGGGUGGUGGAGCGCUGGAUCCAGGUGGCCCAGGUGUGCUGUGGGAGGCCCAGUGGAGCCCCUCUCUGAAGCCUUGGGAACUGCCUCUCCACAUUUAUCAGCUCCCAGGAUUGCAGUGUGUGGUCUAAGCCCCUGCACAGUCCCUAGGACCUUCCUGCCAGGGGCCCGCUGACUUUAACUCCAGGUCCCAGUGAGAGGAUGCUCACUUCCUACCUGGCUCCUUCCCUGGGUUGAGCUAAAAUCUUGCUCCCUGUGAGUGUUACUCUUUGGGUCCUAAAUGUGCCCUUCUGGGACUCCCUGAGCAUCUGUCUCAUCCAGGAGGGGAGAUUUAAAUAGAAGGGUACUGAAGCUAGAGCAAGCUGGGCUACAGUGCCCCACCUCACAGCUCAUUCUCUUCCCUUCCCCAGGAGUUCGAGAUCCUGAAGAACUUCUUCUCGUCCUGCACUGUCAACUCUGCUCUGCAGAAAACCUUCACAAGCCACCUGAAGAACACACGGGGGAAGUUUCCCGAUGAGGAAACAGGCUCAAGGAGGCCAGGCCACAAGCCCAAGCUCACACCCAGAGUGAGAGUUGGAGCUGGGCUUGUUCUGGAAUCACAAGACCUUGGAGGAUGGAAUGACAUUGGUACCAGUUGACUCAAGUCAGAUGUCCAGUGUCGGAGGCCAGUGGUGCUGGAGAGAAAUGGGGUGAGGGGAGUAUGGCCUCACUGACACUGUCCUCGACCC